rnacentral:tRNA from 4 species
GGCCGAGUGUCCGAAUGGUUAGGUGGCUGGCUGCAAACCAGUUUAAGUGGGUUCGAUUCCCAUCUUGGCUUC